rnacentral:rRNA from 1 species
AUUGAACGCUGGCGGCAUGCCUUACACAUGCAAGUCGAACGGCAGCACGGGAGUAAUCCUGGUGGCGAGUGGCGAACGGGUGAGUAAUAUAUCGGAACGUGCCCAGUCGUGGGGGAUAACGUAGCGAAAGCUACGCUAAUACCGCAUACGAUCUACGGAUGAAAGCGGGGGAUCGCAAGACCUCGCGCGAUUGGAGCGGCCGAUAUCAGAUUAGCUAGUUGGUGAGGUAAAGGCUCACCAAGGCGACGAUCUGUAGCUGGUCUGAGAGGACGACCAGCCACACUGGAACUGAGACACGGUCCAGACUCCUACGGGAGGCAGCAGUGGGGAAUUUUGGACAAUGGGCGCAAGCCUGAUCCAGCAAUGCCGCGUGCAGGAUGAAGGCCUUCGGGUUGUAAACUGCUUUUGUACGGAACGAAACGGCUCUUUCUAAUACAAGGGGCUAAUGACGGUACCGUAAGAAUAAGCACCGGCUAACUACGUGCCAGCAGCCGCCGCAG